UACGGAGGGAGCUAGCGUUGUUCGGAAUUACUGGGCGUAAAGCGCGCGUAGGCGGCCCGGUAAGUCCGCUGUGAAAGUCGGGGGCUCAACCCUCGGAUGCCGGUGGAUACUGUCGGGCUUGAGUGCGGAAGAGGCGAGUGGAAUUCCUGGUGUAGCGGUGAAAUGCGCAGAUAUCAGGAGGAACACCAAUUGCGAAGGCAGCUCGCUGGGACGUUACUGACGCUGAUGCGCGAAAGCGUGGGGAGCAAACAGG
rnacentral:rRNA from 1 species